rnacentral:rRNA from 1 species
UUCGGAGGCUGACGAGUGGCGGACGGGUGAGUAACGCGUAGGAAUCUGCCUGUUAGUGGGGGACAACUUAGGGAAACUUAAGCUAAUACCGCAUACGCCCUACGGGGGAAAGGAGGGGAUCUUCGGACCUUUCGCUAACAGAUGAGCCUGCGUAGGAUUAGCUAGUUGGUAGGGUAAAAGCCUACCAAGGCGACGAUCCUUAGCUGUUCUGAGAGGAAGAUCAGCCACACUGGGACUGAGACACGGCCCAGACUCCUACGGGAGGCAGCAGUGGGGAAUAUUGGACAAUGGGCGAAAGCCUGAUCCAGCAAUACCGCGUGUGUGAAGAAGGCCUUAGGGUUGUAAAGCACUUUCAAUUGGAAGGAAAAAACCAAGGGUCAAUACCCCUCGGUCUUGACAUUACCUUUAGAAGAAGCACCGGCUAACUCCGUG